rnacentral:rRNA from 1 species
AAUGAACGCUGGCGGCGUGCUUAACACAUGCAAGUCGAACGAGAAAGCGAACUUCGGUUCGUGAGUAGAGUGGCGCACGGGUGAGUAAUACGUAGAUAAUCUACCUUUGAAUUUGGGAUAACAUCGCGAAAGUGGUGCUAAUACCGGAUAAUAUUUAUAAGACUUCGGUUUUAUAAAUCAAAGAUGGCCUCUUCUUGAAAGCUAUUGUUUGGAGAUGAGUCUACGCACCAUUAGCUUGUUGGUGGGGUAAAAGCCUACCAAGGCGACGAUGGUUAGCUGGUCUGAGAGGAUGAUCAGCCACACUGGAACUGACACACGGUCCAGACUCCUACGGGAGGCAGCAGUGAGGAAUUUUGCGCAAUGGGGGAAACCCUGACGCAGCAACGCCGCGUGAGUGAUGAAGGCUCUUGGGUCGUAAAACUCUGUCAGUAGGGAAGAAGUUAUUUAUGGUUAAUACCCAUAGGUAUUGACGGUACCUACAAAGGAAGCACCGGCUAACUCCGUGCCAGCAGCCGCGGUAAUACGGGGGGUGCAAGCGUUAUUCGGAAUUAUUGGGCGUAAAGCGAGUGCAGGCGGUUUGUUAAGUCAGAUGUGAAAGCCCGGGGCUCAACCCCGGAAGUGCAUUUGAAACUGUAAUACUUGAGUAUGGGAGAGGAAAGUGGAAUUUCCUGGUGUAGAGGUGAAAUUCGUAGAUAUCAGGAGGAACACCAGUGGCGAAGGCGACUUUCUGGACCAAUACUGACGCUCAGACUCGAAGGCGUGGGUAGCAAACAGGAUUAGAUACCCUGGGUAGUCCACGCAGUAAACGUUGUACACUAGGUGUCACGGGUAUUGACCCCUGUGGUGCCGUAGGCUAACGCAUUAAGUGUACCGCCCUGGGGAGUACGAUCGCAAGAUUUAACACUCAAAGGAAUUGACGGGGGCCCGCACAAGCGGUGGAGCAUGUGGUUUAAUUCGACGCAACGCGAAGAACCUUACCUGGAUUUGACAUCCUGGGAAUAUUUUCGAAAGAUUUUAGUGCCCUUCGGGGAACCCAGUGACAGGUGCUGCAUGGCUGUCGUCAGCUCGUGUCGUGAGAUGUUGGGUUAAGUCCCGUAACGAGCGCAACCCCUAUCCUUAGUUACCAUCAUUCAGUUGGGAACUCUGAAGAUACUGCCCCGGUUAACGGGGAGGAAGGUGGGGAUGACGUCAAGUCCUCAUGGCCCUUAUGUCCAGGGCUACACACGUGCUACAAUGGUAUGUACAAAGAGUUGCGAACUCGCGAGGGUAAGCUAAUCUCAUAAAACAUAUCUCAGUUCGGAUAGGAGUCUGCAACUCGACUCCUUGAAGUUGGAAUCGCUAGUAAUCGCAGAUCAGCAUGCUGCGGUGAAUACGUUCCCGGGCCUUGUACACACCGCCCGUCACACCAUGAGAGUUGGUUGUACCAGAAGUCGUUGGGCAAACCUUUUCGGAGGAAGCAGGCACCUAAGGUAUGGUUGAUAAUUGGGGUG